rnacentral:tRNA from 1 species
CNGUGAUUAGCUCAGCUGGGAGAGCACCUCCCUUACAAGGAGGGGGUCGGCGGUUCGAUCCCGUCAUCACCCACCA